rnacentral:rRNA from 1 species
UACGGGGGGAGCAAGCGUUGGUUCGGAUUUUACUGGGCGUAAAGGGGCGCGGUAGGCGGUCGUGACAAGUCACUUGUGAAAUCUCCGGGCUUAACUCGGAACGGUCAAGUGAUACUGUCGGACUAGAGUACAGAAGGGGCAACUGGAAUUCUCGGUGUAGCGGGUAGAAAUGCGUAGAUAUCGAGAGGAACACCUGCGGCGAAGGCGGGUUGCUGGGCUGAUACUGACGCUGGAGGCGCGGAAAGCGUGGGGAGCAAACAGG